rnacentral:lncRNA from 1 species
CAACAAACAACGGAACCAAAACCUGAAACUCCAAGUAAGUUUCUUUUUACCCUUUUCAGUGUGUUAACCAAUACAGUUCGUAGGAACAAUCUGUUCUGGAGGAAUGACCCUGCAUAUAACCUCAAUUAACCAUUGGAAGAGAAGAGCCUUUUGGGGCCUGCAGCUUGUGUGGACAUCUGGCAGCAGCUGUGGUCAGGGAGCACACAGAGCCCCUGGCUGGGAGCUGUUGGCUCUGUCCCCUCCAUCCCAGGGACAGAGAGCAGAGCCAGCCUUGGUAAGGAGACUGAACCAGAGAGGAGAUGCCAUGUCAGCAGUGCAUGGAGGCCUGCAGCUCCACUGA